rnacentral:misc_RNA from 1 species
GAAUGAACAAUUCCCUCUGAGCUUGAUCUAAUCACUGUAAGAUGACAAUUACUUUCUCAUAGUUCAGACCUGGUUAAUGGGGCUACAAUACAAACAAAUACAUAUAAAUUUAAACAUGCAACUGGCUGUCAGGAAUCAGCACCCGACGAACGAACACCCAAGGUCAUUUGCAAGACAACUGUUCCACAUAGUCAAAAGUAGGUGAUUAGGUUAUCCAUAGCAGCUGUCACUGUGCCCUAAGCAACA